GUCACAAUAUAGAGUAACUAUACAGGUAUCAUUUUUUAAAGAGCUUAUAGACUGUGUCACUUUUUGCACUUUGUAUAAAAACACAAUUGACCUAGAAAAUGAUUCUAAUUUAUUUUGCCUAAAACCUGAAAUUCUGUUUAAUUUAUUUUGAAUUCCCAACAGUUUACACUUGAGUGAAUAAUCCUGUUAGUGAGGGUAUGAUUUACUUUAUUGUGGCGUUUUGAUAUUUUUCACUUCGUUAUUUUUCUUGUGUACUUUCCCUUUAUUACCUAGAAACUAUUUUUCAUUACAAUACAGUGCAUGAUUUAUCUACCUUUAAAUCAGUCCUAAAGGUCAUUGUCCUAGCCUAUGCAAAGUCACGUAAUUCCAGAGUAUUAGAAUAUCAGUUGAUCACAUACUACAAACAGAAUAUAAGAUUCCAUCUUCACAAUGCUCGCCUUUAAUAAAUAAAUAUAAGUUUAUU